rnacentral:rRNA from 1 species
GACGAACGCUGGCGGCGUGCUUAACACAUGCAAGUCGAACGGAAAGGCCCUGCUUUUGUGGGGUGCUCGAGUGGCGAACGGGUGAGUAACACGUGAGUAACCUGCCCUUGACUUUGGGAUAACUUCAGGAAACUGGGGCUAAUACCGGAUAGGAGCUCCUGCUGCAUGGUGGGGGUUGGAAAGUUUCGGCGGUUGGGGAUGGACUCGCGGCUUAUCAGCUUGUUGGUGGGGUAGUGGCUUACCAAGGCUUUGACGGGUAGCCGGCCUGAGAGGGUGACCGGCCACAUUGGGACCGAGAUACGGCCCAGGCUCCUACGGGAGGCAGCAGUGGGGAAUAUUGCACAAUGGGCGGAAGCCUGAUGCAGCAACGCCGCGUGCGGGAUGACGGCCUUCGGGUUGUAAACCGCUUUCGCCUGUGACGAAGCGUGAGUGACGGUAAUGGGUAAAGAAGCACCGGCUAACUACGUG